rnacentral:tRNA from 3 species
ACCCCCGUAGUGUAGCGGUCAAUCAUGCCAGCCUUUGGAGCUGGCGACACCAGUUCGAAUCUGGUCGGGGGUA